UACGAAGGGUGCAAGCGUUACUCGGAAUUACUGGGCGUAAAGCGUGCGUAGGUGGUUUGUUAAGUCUGUUGUGAAAGCCCCGGGCUCAACCUGGGAAUGGCAAUGGAUACUGGCAGGCUAGAGUGCGGUAGAGGGUAGUGGAAUUCCCGGUGUAGCGGUGAAAUGCGUAGAGAUCGGGAGGAACACCAGUGGCGAAGGCGGCUACCUGGACCAGCACUGACACUGAGGCACGAAAGCAUGGGGAGCAAACAGG
rnacentral:rRNA from 1 species